rnacentral:rRNA from 1 species
AGUGAACGCUGGCGGUAGGCCUAACACAUGCAAGUCGAACGGCAGCACAGUAAGAGCUUGCUCUUACGGGUGGCGAGUGGCGGACGGGUGAGGAAUACAUCGGAAUCUACUUUUUCGUGGGGGAUAACGUAGGGAAACUUACGCUAAUGCCGCAUACGACCUACGGGUGAAAGCAGGGGAUCUUCGGACCUUGCGCGAUUGAAUGAGCCGAUGUCGGAUUAGCUAGUUGGCGGGGUAAAGGCCCACCAAGGCGACGAUCCGUAGCUGGUCUGAGAGGAUGAUCAGCAAAACUGGAACGGAGAAACGGUCAAGACUCCUACGGGAGGCAGCAGUGGGGAAUAUUGGAAAAUGGGCGCAAGCCUGAUCCAGACAUACCGCGUGGGUGAAGAAGGCCUUCGGGUUGUAAAGCCCUUUUGUUGGGAAAGAAAAGCAGCAGGUUAAUACCCCGCUGUUCUGACGGUACCCAAAGAAUAAGCACCGGCUAACUUCGUG